rnacentral:rRNA from 1 species
AAUAGUCUUGCGGGACUAUUAGAGCCAACGGUGAGAUACCACUCUAGUAAAGAUAAAAUUCUAACUCUAUACCGUUAUCCGGAUAGAGAACAGUUUCAAGUGGGCAGUUUGACUGGGGCGGUCGCCUCCUAAAAGGUAACGGAGGCGUGCAAAGGUUCCCUCAGGCUGGUUGGACAUCAGUCGAAGAGUGUAUAGGCAUAAGGGAGCUUGACUGCGAGACCCACAAGUCGAGCAGAGACGAAAGUCGGCCUUAGUGAUCCGACGGUUCCGAGUGGAAGGGCCGUCGCUCAACGGAUAAAAGUUACUCUAGGGAUAACA